rnacentral:piRNA from 1 species
UAAGGAAUACAUUUUCUCUGUGAUUACUAGC